CUGAGUUCUCAUCAACGUGACAGACCUCUGCUGUGUUCUGUAGCCACAGGCCUCACCCCGGCAUCUCCCUGAGUCUGGGAGAAGCAGCAGCUAUCCUGUGGGCUGGAGGGGAUGGACCUUCCUGAGAGAUCUGAGGUCUUGGGGAGCAGGGCAUCCCGGAUGGUGGAAGGGGAGACAGUAAGGGUGAGGUGCACCCAGAAACCUGGGAAGAGGAGACACCCUGCGGUAAAGCUGAAGGAUUCCUAGAGGGAUGACCCACUGCAUGUGGGGUCGUUUAAGUAGUUUGCCUCAUACGACAGGCAGGAGGAAGGAGAUGUGAAGAAAUGAAAGGAAUGUUCUGACUCAACGUUAAUGGCCCAAAGGCAUGUGUGAAAGGGACAGAGGUCUGGGUCAGCCCCUCUCCAGUCCUGGAUACAUCUCUUCUUGCUGGAGGAGGUGCUGGCUGAAAAAGAAUCAGUGUGUCUGUCCCCAACCUGC
ensembl:lncRNA